AUUGAACGCUGGCGGCAGGCCUAACACAUGCAAGUCGAACGAGUGGCGGACGGGUGAGUAAUGUCUGGGAAACUGCCUGAUGGAGGGGGAUAACUACUGGAAACGGUAGCUAAUACCGCAUACCAUCGGAUGUGCCCAGAUGGGAUUAGCUAGUAGGUGGGGUAAGGGCUCAACUAGGCGACGAUCCCUAGCGGGUCUGCGAGGAUGACCAUCCACACCUGAAGUGAUACACGGGCAAGAACCCUACGGGAGGCAGCAUUGGGGAAUAUUGCACAAUGGGGGCAAGCCUGAUGCAGCCAUGCCGCGUGUAUGAAGAAGGCCUUCGGGUUGUAAAGUACUUUCAGCGGGGAGGCGUUACCCGCAGAAGAAGCACCGGCUAACUCCGUGCCAGCAGCCGCGGUAAUAC
rnacentral:rRNA from 1 species